rnacentral:rRNA from 1 species
CCUACGGGUGGCAGCAGUGAGGAAUAUUGGUCAAUGGACGAGAGUCUGAACCAGCCAAGUAGCGUGAAGGAUGACUGCCCUAUGGGUUGUAAACUUCUUUUAUAUGGGACUAAAAUGUUCCACGUGUGGGAUUUUGUAUGUACCAUAUGAAUAAGGAUCGGCUAACUCCGUGCCAGCAGCCGCGGUAAUACGGAGGAUCCGAGCGUUAUCCGGAUUUAUUGGGUUUAAAGGGAGCGUAGGUGGAUUGUUAAGUCAGUUGUGAAAGUUUGCGGCUCAACCGUAAAAUUGCAGUUGAAACUGGCAGUCUUGAGGAAAGUAGAGGUGGGCGGAAUUCCUGGUGUAGCGGUGAAAUGCGUAGAUAUCAGGAGGAACACCGGCGGCGAAGGCGGCUUACUGGACUGUAACUGACGUUGAGGCUCGAAGGCGUGGGGAGCAAACAGGAUUAGAUACCCUUGUAGUC